rnacentral:rRNA from 1 species
CACUAUGCCUAGCCCUAAACAUUGAUAACACCCUACCCAGUUUAUCCGCCCGGGAACUACGAGCGUCAGCUUAAAACCCAAAGGACUUGGCGGUGCUUUAGAUCCACCUAGAGGAGCCUGUUCUAGAACCGAUAAUCCCCGUUCAACCUCACCUUUUCUUGCUUAUUCCGCCUAUAUACCACCGUCGUCAGCUUACUCUUUGAGGAACUAGCCGUAAGCGCAACUGGUACAGCCUAAAACGCCAGGUCGAGGUGUAGCGAAUGGAAAGGGAAGAAAUGGGCUACAUUCAAUAACAAUAAUGCAUACGAACGAUGUUCUGAAAUAGACAUCUGAAGGAGGAUUUAGUAGUAAGUAGAGAGCAGAGCGCUCUACUGAAGCCGGCCCUGAAGCGCGUACACACCGCCCGUCACUCUCCCCGAGCUAACAACACACAUUUCUAAUAAGCGAAACUUGCAAAGGGGAGGCAAGUCGUAA